rnacentral:rRNA from 1 species
CAAUAGCGUAUAUUAAAGUUGUUGCGGUAAAAAAGCUCGUAGUUGGAUUUCUACCGAAGAUAGCCGGUCGGGUCUUCGACCUUGUAUCUGGUUUUGUCUUUGGUAUCCUCAUAGGGAACGUUUCUGCGCUUUAUUGCGUGGUGCGGUAUCUAUGACUUUUACUUUGAGGAAAUUAGAGUGUUCACGGCAGGCAAACGCCUUGAAUAUAUUAGCAUGGAAUAAUAACAUAGGAUCUUCGUCCUAUUUUGUUGGUUUCUAGGGCUAAGAUAAUGAUUAAUAGGGAUAAUUGGGGGCAUCUGUAUCAACGCGUCGGAGGUGGAAUUCUUGGAUUGCGUUGCGACAAACUACUGCGAAAGCAUUUGCCAAGGAUGUUUUCAUUGA